GCUGGGGUAUGUAACAAUAGGUUUCUUUGUGGGGGGAUGGAGUAACUGCUUUCUUGGGAAGCCCCUAUCUCACUGGAAUAUCUGACUAAGAAACCCGGUGGGGAAGAAAGACCUUAACUAGGCAGAAAGUCACUAACAAAGGGAGGUCAUGCUUUAGCUAUGUGGAAGUUCCCUGUUCCUUGUGGCUGGAGUGGGGCAAAGGGAAAGGAGAGGAGGGGGCUUGUUCUGUGGGGGCUCUGAAAUACCUAACACAAACAUGUCCAAAUCUCCUUCAAAUCAGUUCUAAAGGCUUCUGAACCACACAGUCAAGUAUAGCUACAACAUUAACUCCACUUCUCUAUUGGCCAGCUGUCCCACUGAUCAGUCAAAAUACACAACAGUCACAACUUAAAGGAGGAGAGGUUUAAUUUGGCUCAAGAUUUCAAGGGAUUCAGUUCAUGAUCAGCUAGUUCAAGUGAAAAAAUCUUAUGGCAGAAAGGCAGCGCAGAGCAAAACUGCUCAGUUUAUGCUGGUCCACAAGCAGAGUAGGGGAAACAAUCACAGUGAUGAAGUGGUGAGGGAUCAGAUAUAGAGCCCUCCAUGAUCCCCCCAAACACACUCAGUAUCUUUACUAAUCCCCUGGAGAUCUACCAAGCCAAUCAUGUUGACAAUUAAGCUUCACUAUAUAUAAUAUAUAUGUCUGUGUGAGGGUAACACAAGCAAAUAUUUUUUUUUCCUUUUGUUUCUAGAGCUCUACUUUUAAAUUGGUUCUUCACAAUUCCCAGCUUAUGUUGUGCCAAAUUUCAAUAUGUCUUGUGUAUUGGCUCUGUGACACAGUACUCUUUUGUAAGAUGCAAAUAAAAGAAGAUGAAAACUGGUUCUAAAAAAAAAGAACAAUAUGAGAAUACUUUCUCUUCCAGUGUAGCAGUCAGGGAUAUAUAACUGGAUAGAAUUGCCUCUGUUUAGAGAAAUAAAAGGAAUAUAUUGCAGUCAGUAAAUGCAUUUCUUCUGAGUAAAAGGGUUAUCACACAGUGAUUUGUAACUUUAGAGAUGUCACUGCUAUAGCCCUGGGGUUUUAGAAGAAAUUUUUGCACUUUGAGAUGAAGCCAGCUGGGAUUCUGCCUCCCUUAAUACAUGAAAGAAUGACUUACAAAUGUAGAUUUAGUAGUUGAGUAAGCUUUGAACUAGUCAAGCUGAAACUAAACUACCUUUCUGCCUAGUAAAGAUCUCACUGCCAGAAUGAGUUCUGGUUUUGGAGGAUAAAUGACAAUAUGUACCAGGAGAAAAUUGGCUUAUCAUUUAGAAUAGAAAGAACUCUAUAAAUGGAAGCUGAAUUCUAGCUUUGUAAACCUGUAAAAUAAAUGUCAUGCCCAAGAAAUCAUGCACUUUUUUAUGAUUCAAAAUGUCUUUGUAUUAUGUAGUAGACUAUCAUAGAAUAUCCAUUAAAUGAUAUUUAUAAGCAACAAUAUAUAGAAAGAUUUCUUUCGAUUUGUUCAUAACUUAUUUCAUUCUUUCAGGUAAAAAAUUAUGCAAUAUCAUUUACUCUUAUACCACUUUUCCUUACUGCUUUUUAAAUGGAGGAAGAACCAAAAACACAUUCUAUAAACAAAAAGAAGAUAAAACUGAUUUUUUUUUUUUUUGGUUUUUUGAGACAGGGUCUUGCUAUGUAGUUUAGAUUGGCCUUGAGCUUGCUCUGAAGUCUACACUGGCCUCAAAUUCAUGGGGAUCCUGCUGCCUCAGCCUCCCAAGUGCUGGGAUUACAGGCCUUAGUUGUGUCAGCAGCUUAUGUCUAGCAACCACAUGUAGCCCCCUCACCCCAACCUAACAAUGAUUGUGUCAUCAAUAAAUAUCUGUGGUUCUGGCUGUUCAGGGUCUUUGCUUGCUCAGCUCUGACCAUCCCAGUUCCCCGUUUCACUUUGAUUCUGUCUCUGAGUCUUUCUUCUUGCUUUGUAUUGUAGUAACAAGCAGGAGAUCAGUGUCCUCUGUAGGGGUCCCCAGUAAGGCACUAUCUUCAUAAUAUAGAAAAUGUAAUUCUCUUGAAAGGUAUUAUAAUAGUAAGGGGUUGCUUGCCAUUUGCAUUUCUGGAUGAGAAAGAAAUUGUCACCAAGUUCAGAUAUAGCUCAGUGGUAGAGGGCAUAUCUUGCAUUUUUAAGACCCUGGAUUCAAUUCAGAGGACCAAAAGGAAAAAGGAAAAGAAAUAUAUUACCAUUCAUUGAAUACUUAGAUAAAUAGCAUGAACUAGGAAAUCAUGCUGUAUAAUACCUAAGAAGCACUUGUAUGUCUAUUUCAAAUACAGUAUGGAGAAAAGUAUAAUUAAUAAGAAUGUGCUAGUAUGCUAAACAUGCUGAGAUGAUAAACAUUACUAAUAGGAAAUAUAAAAUACCUGAGUGGUAUAGUCAUGGGUUAAGAGACUGAAAUAUUUCACCAUCAAAUAAAAAUUUUAGUUUAAAAAAUAUUUAGCUGACAUAGCUAAGAGGGAAGUUACAGGACAAUGAAAAAUACUCAAAUAAAACAUGAGAUUAUAUGUCUUGAAGUAUUUUAAAUAUGUUGAAUGAACAUGAAGUAUAGGAAAAGUUCCAUUAAGUGGGUUGCACCAAACAAUAUGAUUUCAAAGUUUUCUUAAAUUAGGUAUUAAAUAGAAGGAGGCUUUCAAAAACUGAAGGAGACAAAAGAGAAACAAAAUUACAUUUAUCUCAAAACUUGAAAGAAGUGUGGUAUAGUACAAUACUUGAAAAUAUUUUUGUCUUAUUUUUUUCUUUAAGAUAAUAAGGAAACUUUGCCAAAUGACUUCCUGAGAGUACCAUGGUUGUUCAGGAAAGAGUUGGAAGUUAAUUUCUCACUUUGUCUAUUCUAUAAAAUCACAGAAAGUUUAAAAUAUUUGAAGACUGACACAAGAAGUAUUGAUUUAUUUUGCUUUUAAUCAAUCAAAGAAUGCAAUAAGAGAAGUAGAAUAAAAAGAUGAAAUUAGGAGGGGACCGAUAUUUAUUCCAAACAUGAGUAGAUUUUCAAAGUGACUAUUCAAAGACAACACAAGAUACCUUUGGAAAGUACUGAAUUAAUCCUCACUGGAAAUGAUCAUUCUUAAGAGUGCUGAACAAUAAUCAGAGUGCUCAAAAUUAGGAUUCAAAAAUCACUGGGGUGAUUAGGUACAUUGCAAAAAUCUCAUUUUUUAAAUUCUUAGAAGUAACAAAUUCCAGUGUUUUCCUCUAUAAUGGGAUGAAUAUAUUUCACAAUAAAUUAUUAUAUAUUUAUGAAUAACUUGAAGUGAGACAUUGAAAAUAUCCAAAGAUCAAGUAUUGAUGAGAAGGAAGAAAUGCUAAUUAGCUUGAUUUGGUCACUAAACAUUUUAUAUGGGUAUUGAAAAAUAUGGAUAAUUAUUAUAUUUCAAUCCAAAAUUUAAAAAAACUAUAAACAAAUGAAAAUGCCAGCUAUACUGAUUGAAAAUUAUAUAUAUGUAUAUAUAUGUUUAUGAGUAUGUGUGUACACAUUUGACAAAUAACAAUAAAAUAAUUUUUGAAAUGUAUAACUAAAACCACAUACUCAAAGGAAUCACUUUUGGGAAAAUGUCAAGUAUACAUUUAUCUGGUUGCCUUAAUAGCCAAGUUCUUCCACGACUUUGGGAACUUUUAAAAUAAGUCUUCGUAUGAAAGCUGACAAGGAGGCCACAUAUGUUAAAAACAUUUUUACUUCUUUUCAAAGAGUUGUGGAGCUAUGAUCAUCGUGUGCCUGAUAAUAUCAUUUUUACCUACGAAGUGAAUGUGAAGCAAAUUGACGGCAGAAAAAAGUAACUUUUACAGAAAAGAUUAAGGAACAAGGAUUAAGGAUUUAGUCCUCCUAAAGUUACUCAAGUUUUCAAAAAGGCCAUGCAAUUUAUUUAUCAUCUGCUUUCAUUUUCAUUACUUCACUUAUAACCUGAGAAUUUAGUAUACAAUGUAAAGGAAGUUUGGGACAGCUAAAUCUAAAGCAAUAAAUCACUACAAAUAAUAAGUAGUGAUUUUUCAUAGUGUUCUAUUUGACCUUGAAGUACUUACUGAAGAAAAAUUUCUUUGUUGGUAAGUUGAUGACUAACAUCUGAAAACCUCUGCAGCUUUCUAGCCUGAAGUCACAAUUCAUGUUGACCUUGCUGUUUGGGUACUUGUUGAGUUGGGUAAUGACUUUAUUUGUUGAUAUAUUGCAAUCUUGCUUAUCCAUUUGGCAUAUAUGGUUAAUAAUCCAUUGACAGCCUGGUGCUGACAUAGUCCCCAGACCAUGCACUGUGUUAGUCAUUAGCCUCAGUGUUCUCUUUUUAAAACUGUGGUCCAGCAUAAAUCAUUCAGGUCUCCCAGACAUACUACACUGUGAAACUCUAAUGAACUUGAAGCACUUUACUAGAGAAGUAAUUGUGUCAUGUAAAAUUAUAUGACAAAAUGGUAUUUUAAUACACACUUCUUUCUCAUUGAAAUAAAAUGUUUUCUUUCCAAAGGGAAAAGAAAAUCAAUUAUAUUUUAUUGUGUUUACAAAAAAAGUAAAUGACAUGAUGGACAGAAAAAAAAAUCUUUAAAUCAUUGUAUUAUAAUUAGAAAUAUGUUAAUAGCACUGGUAGGUUUUUAAGAUAUUCAGUUUCUUAGCUAUAUUUUAAAUGAUAGAAAAUACAUGUAGCUUGCACUUGAACAAUUUUAAAGAAAAAUGACUAAUUAAUUUGUAUCAAAGCAUAUUGUUCUUUCUCAAUGCAUUUUAUGGAUUAUGAUCAUAUUUAGUCAAUGCUGAUUUUCUACGUGACAAUACAUAUUCCAAAAUCUAUUAGCACAUUAAAUAUAUUGAGAAAACAAUAGUCAAAAGAGUAUUCCUUUCCAUUUUCUACAAACCAAAGAAGUUUGAGAAUAACACUGCUUUUUCUACUUUCAAUGUAGUCAUAAAAACUACAAAUAUUUAUAUGCAUAUUUCAUUUCCUUUAAAUUCACUGCAAGGUCCUAAUUUGUAUAUAAAAUAUGAUAAUAAAGUAAUUUUGAAACUUUCAAACCAGACUGUUAGAGAAAGUUUAACAGGAAUAAAUUUUACUUUCAGCUUAAUUAAUUUCAUACAGAUGAAUGAAAAAUUGAGUUAGUAUCUGAAUUUAAAAAUGGCAAUUCCCUGCAAACUGACAGAUUUUAUCAUAAGGC
ensembl:lncRNA